rnacentral:rRNA from 1 species
ACGAACGCUGGCGGCGUGCUUCACACAUGCACGUCGAACGGAAAGGCCCUGCUUUUGUGGGGUGCUCGAGUGGCGAACGGGUGAGUAACACGUGAGUAACCUGCCCUUGACUUUGGGAUAACUUCAGGAAACUGGGGCUAAUACCGGAUAGGAGCUCCUGCUGCAUGGUGGGGGUUGGAAAGUUUCGGCGGUUGGGGAUGGACUCGCGGCUUAUCAGCUUGUUGGUGGGGUAGUGGCUUACCAAGGCUUUGACGGGUAGCCGGCCUGAGAGGGUGACCGGCCACAUUGGGACUGAGAUACGGCCCAGACUCCUACGGGAGGUAGCAGUGGGGAAUAUUGCACAAUGGGCGGAAGCCUGAUGCAGCAACGCCGCGUGCGGGAUGACGGCCUUCGGGUUGUAAACCGCUUUCGCCUGUGACGAAGCGUGAGUGACGGUAAUGGGUAAAGAAGCACCGGCUAACUACGUG